CACUUACGGUGGAUAAUGCAAGUUCCAAUGAUGUUGCUAUUUCAUAUAUGAAAAGAAAGAUGUCUAAGAAGAGUGAUACUUUCAUUUUAGGCGGCGAAUUCUUUCACACGAGGUGUUGUGCACAUAUUCUUAAUUUAAUUAUGAAGAUGGGUUAAUUGAAUUAAAAGAUUCAUUAACUCGAAUUCGUGGGGCAGUGAGGUAUGUUAGGAGUUCUCUACAAAGAGAACAACGCUUCAAGGCAUGUGCAGAGAAAGAGAGGAUAACAUAGAAAAGCUCUUUGUGCCUAGAUGUUCAAACUAGGUGGAACUCCACAUAUCUCAUGCUAGAUGCCACAACAAAGUUUUAAAAAGCAUUUGAGAGAUUAGAAGAGGAAGAUCCACAUUUCACCAUAGAACUUCAUGAUGGACCUCCUACCACUUGUGAUCGAGAUGAUGCUCGGGUUUUUACAAAAUUUUUACAGAAAUUCUAUGAUGCGACUGUUCGCUUGUCUGGUUCGUUAUAUGUCACUUCUAAUUCAUAUUUUCAUGAAGUUUGUGCCAUUGAAAGUUUCUUAUCCGAAUGGUCAAUCAGUACGGAUUCUAGUUUAAAUACCAUGGCUAAGAAAAUGAAGAUUAAAUUUGAGAAGUAUUGGAAAUAUUGAAAAGGUGAAUAUGAUGUUAUUGAUUGUUGUUGUGUUGAAUCCCCAUUAUAAAUUGAAAUAUGUGAAGUUUUGUUAUUCUGAAGUUUACGAACCUGCUAUGAUGAUUGAGCUCACUGAGAAGAUAAGAGAGGCAUUCAGUCGUAUUUAUGAUGAGUAUCAAAAGUUUCAGUCAGUUGAUUAUUCUUCAAGUCAAGCUGUUUUUAACAUGGAUGUCAACCAAUCAAUUAGUUGUACAAGUGAGCAAUUAAUUUCUCUCAUAUCGAAGUUUCAAAAACAUUUGGAAGAAGAAGAGAGUAGUGGAGGCAAGUCUUAAGUGGACAAAUAUUUGGAAGAAUCUUGUGAAAAAGAUGAUCCAAACUUUGAAAUUUUGAAUUGGUGGAAGGUGAAUAAUUCAAAGUAUAGAGUUCUUUCUCAAGUUGCAGGAGAUCUUUUAGCCAUUCCUGUAUCUACCGUUGCUUCUGAAUCAGAUUUUAGUACUGGAGGUCGUGUUCUAGAUCAAUUCUGUAGUUCUCUUACCCCUAAGCUUGUGGAAUGCUUAAUUUGUGCACAAGAUUGGUUACGUGCUUCGCCUCUCCUAAUUCAAGUUGAAGAAAAUAUGACUGAAAUUGAAGCUCUUAAAUCAGCCCUAUCUUUUAUUUGAGGACUUUCAUAUCGAGUUUACUUGGAUGUAGCAUUCUUCUUGCUAUUCAGAAGUUGAGAGAAUGGCCUCUAGCCUCUAAGUGGUGCCGUGGUGGUGGUGGCUUUGAUGGCAUUGCAGCUGUUCGUACUCUUCACUUGCUUUGGAUAAAAAUGCCUGGU